UACAGAGGGUGCAAGCGUUAAUCGGAAUUACUGGGCGUAAAGCGCACGUAGGUGGCUUGAUAAGUUGGGUGUGAAAUCCCCGGGCUUAACCUGGGAAUUGCAUUCAAGACUGUCUUGCUAGAGUGUGGAAGAGGGAAGCGGAAUUCCAGGUGUAGCGGUGAAAUACGUAGAUAUUAGGAAGAACACCGGUGGCGAAGGCGGGUCUCUGGUACGUGACUGACGCUGAGACGCGAAAGCGUGGGGAGCAAACAGG
rnacentral:rRNA from 1 species